ACGUGUAGCUGGUCUGAGAGGAUGAUCAGCCACAUCGGGACUGAGACACUGCCCGGACCUCCACGGAGGGCUGCAGCAACGAAUCAUCCGCAAUGCGCGAAAGCGUGACGGUGCGACGCCGCGUGCGGGACGAAGCCCCUAGGGGUGUAAACCGCUGUCAGGGGAAACCACACCGAUAGGGCAAAUAGUCCUUGAGGUAGAGGGAACCCAGAGGAAGCCACGGCUAACUCUGUGCCAGCAGCCGCGGUAAGACAGAGGUGGCUAGCGUUGCUCGGAGUCACUGGGCUUAAAGGGUGCGUAGGCGGCUUAUCAAGCAUUAUGUGAAAGCCCUCGGCUCAACUGAGGAAUUGCAUAAUGAACUGGUAAGCUUGAGGUGCGUCGGGGCCGGAAGAACUCUGGGUGGAGCGGUGAUAUGCGUAGAUAUCCAGGGGAAUGCCAGUGGCGAAGGCGUCCGGCUAGGCGCAAUCUGACGCUAAGGCACGAAAGCGUGGGUAGCGAACGGGAUUAGAUACCCCGGUAGUCCACGCUGUAAACGUUGUGCACUGGUUUCGGGAACCUCUGACGGGUUCCGGAGCGUAGAAAAAUCGUUAAGUGCACCGCCUGGGGACUACGGCCGCAAGGCUAAAACUCAAAGGAAUUGACGGGGGCUCACACAAGCGGCGGAGCAUGUGGCUUAAUUCGAGGCAACGCGAAGAACCUUACCUGGGUUUGACAUGUACGGAUGCCCCCCUGGAAACAGGGUGUGGUUGCCCUCGUGGUGAAACGUACACAGGUGCUGCAUGGCUGUCGUCAGCUCGUGCCGUGAGGUGUUGGGUUAAGUCCCGUAACGAGCGAAACCCCUAUCUUUAGUUGCCAGUUCCGAUUUACCGGAAGGCACUCUAACGAGACUGCCGGCGUCAAGCCGGAGGAAGGUGGGGACGACGUCAAGUCAUCAUGGCCUUUAUACCCAGGGAUGCACACGUGCUACAAUGCCAGGUACAAAGUGACGCGAAGCCGCGAGGUGGAGCAAAUCGCAAAAAACCUGGCCCAGUUCAGAUUGCAGUCUGCAAUUCGACUGCAUGAAGUCGGAAUCGCUAGUAAUCGCGUAUCAGCAAUGACGCGGUGAAUGUGUUCCUGAGCCUUGUACACACCGCCCGUCAAGCCAUGGAAGCUGGGACCACCCGAAGUCAGCUUAGCGAAUCCCUCGGGA
rnacentral:rRNA from 1 species